ensembl:snRNA U6 U6 spliceosomal RNA
GUGCUUACUUUGGCAGCACAAAUAUUAAAAUUGGAAUGUUACAGAAAAUAGUAGAAUGGCCCCUGUGCAAGGAUAGCAUUUGUGGAGCAUUCCAUAGUUUU